UACAGAGGGUGCGAGCGUUGUUCGGAAUUACUGGGCGUAAAGCGCGCGCAGGCGGCCCUUUAAGUCUGACGGUGAAAUGCCGGGGCUCAACCCCGUGCCCGCCGCGGAUACUGGAGGGCUGGAGACACGUAGAGGCAAGCGGAAUUCCGGGUGUAGCGGUGGAAUGCGUAGAGAUCCGGAGGAACACCGAUGGCGAAGGCAGAUCUCUGGGCCGUAACUGACGCUGAGGAGCGAAAGCA
rnacentral:rRNA from 1 species